rnacentral:rRNA from 1 species
AGUCGAACGAGAAAGUCUAGCAAUAGAUGAGUAAAGUGGCGUACGGGUGAGUAAUGUAUAGGAAUCUACCCAGUAAUGAGGAAUAAGCACUGGAAACGGUGUCUAAUACCACAUACUACCAUUUAUUUGGGAAAGGGUUAAUAGCAAUAUUAACUUGUUAUUGGAUGAGCCUAUAUCGGAUUAGCUAGUUGGUGGGGUAAAGGCCUACCAAGGCGAUGAUCCGUAGCUGGUCUGAGAGGGUGAUCAGCCACAUUGGGACUGCGACACGGCCCAAACUCCUACGGGAGGCAGCAGUAGGGAAUAUUGGACAAUGGGCGAAAGCCUAAUCCAGCAAUACCGCGUGAAUGAUGAAGGUCUUAGGAUUGUAAAGUUCUUUCGGUGGGGAAGAUAAUGACGGUACCCACAGAAGAAGCACCGGCUAACUUCGUGCCAGCAGCCGCGGUAAUACGAAGGGUGCUAGCGUUAUUCGGAAUCACUGGGCGUAAAGAGUGUAAAGGCGGUUAGAUAAGUCAGUUGUGAAAGCCCUGAGCUUAACUCAGGAAUGGCGAUUGAAACUAUCUUACUAGAGUAUAGUAGGCGAUGGCGGAAUUCUUAGUGUAGGGGUGAAAUCCGUAGAUAUUAAGAGGAACACCGGUGGUGAAGACGGCUAUCUUGACUAUAACUGACGCUACAACACGAAGGUAUGGGUAGCAAACAGGAUUAGAUACCCUGGUAGUCCAUACAGUAAACGAUGAUUACUAAGUGUCUGGAUUUUAGAUCUGGGUGCUAAAGCUAACGCGUUAAGUAAUCCGCCUGAGUAGUACGACCGCAAGGUUAAAACUUAAAGGAAUUGACGGGGACCCGCACAAGCGGUGGAACACGUGGUUUAAUUCGAUAGUCCGCGAAAAACCUUACCAACCCUUGACAUCUCGAUCAUAGGAAUCAGAAAUGAUUUUUUCAGUUCGGCUGGAUCGAAGACAGGUGUUGCAUGGCCGUCGUCAGCUCGUGCCGUGAGGUGUUAGGUUAAGUCCUUUAACGAGCGCAACCCUUGCCUUUAUUUGCCAUCAGGUAAUGCUGGGAACUAUAAAGGGACUGUUGGUGAUAAACCAAAGGAAGAUGGGGAUGAGGUCAGGUCAUCACGACCCUUAUGGGUUGGGCCACACAUAUGUUGCAAUGGGAGUUACAAAGGGAUGCAAUAAAGUGAUUUGGAGCAAAUCCUUAAAAGCUCUCUCAGUUCGGAUUGUAGGCUGCAACUCGCCUGCAUGAAGUUGGAAUCGCUAGUAAUCGUAGAUCAGCACGCUACGGUGAAUACGUUCUCGGGUCUUGUACACACCGCCCGUCAAGCUAUGGGAGUUCUUUUUACCCGAAUUACAUGAGUUAACCGUAAGGAGACAG